rnacentral:pre_miRNA from 1 species
GGGGGGAGGCCGAUCCUGGGCUGUGUCCCGGCGCCCUAUGCUCCGGGGCCUGCGCUGGUGGAUUUGCGCCCCCGCCUCGCAGCCCCCU